GACGAACGCUGGCGGCGUGCUUAACACAUGCAAGUCGAACGGAAAGGCCCUGCUUUUGUGGGGUGCUCGAGUGGCGAACGGGUGAGUAACACGUGAGUAACCUGCCCUUGACUUUGGGAUAACUUCAGGAAACUGGGGCUAAUACCGGAUAGGAGCUCCUGCCGCAUGGUGGGGGUUGGAAAGUUUCGGCGGUUGGGGAUGGAAUCGCGGCUUAUCAGCUUGUUGGUGGGGUAGUGGCUUACCAAGGCUUUGACGGGUAGCCGGCCUGAGAGGGUGACCGGCCACAUUGGGACUGAGAUACGGCCCAGACUCCUACGGGAGGCAGCAGUGGGGAAUAUUGCACAAUGGGCGGAAGCCUGAUGCAGCAACGCCGCGUGCGGGAUGACGGCCUUCGGGUUGUAAACCGCUUUCGCCUGUGACGAAGCGUGAGUGACGGUAAUGGGUAAAGAAGCACCGGCUAACUACGUG
rnacentral:rRNA from 1 species